rnacentral:rRNA from 1 species
CAGCAGCCGCGGGAAUACGUAGGGUGCGAGCGUUAAUCGGAAUUAUUGGGCGUAAAGGGCUCGCAGGCGGUUUCUUAAGUCUGAUGUGAAAGCCCCCGGCUCAACCGGGGAGGGUCAUUGGAAACUGGGAAACUUGAGUACAGAAGAGGAGAGUGGAAUUCCACGUGUAGCGGUGAAAUGCGUAGAGAUGUGGAGGAACACCAGUGGCGAAGGCGACUCUCUGGUCAGUAACUGACGCUGAGGAGCGAAAGCGUGGGGAGCGAACAGGAUUAGAUACCCCCGUAGUCCCUGUCUCUUAUAC